CAACUUACGUGUACCUCAAGGGAGACUAGCAUAGCAACCUACCGCCAUAGCCCCUCUAAAAUCAUGGUUUGCUUUUAGAGGGAAUCGAACUCUGCCAUGUUACAGGCUCAGAUUCGCCCUCACCAUUGGGGCAACCCAUGGCAGAGCGAUAUCCCGGGAGCAGAUUGCCCACUGGCAGGGCCAUUUCAAGGCACAUCACGAGGUAGCGAGACCCGGGAAGGCAACCC